rnacentral:rRNA from 1 species
UACGGAGGGUGCAAGCGUUAAUCGGAAUUACUGGGCGUAAAGCGCACGCAGGUGGCUGAGUAAGUCGAUUGUGAAAGCCCUGGGCUUAACCUGGGAAUUGCAGUCGAUACUGCUCGGCUAGAGUAUGGGAGAGGGUAGUGGAAUUCCCGGUGUAGCGGUGAAAUGCGUAGAUAUCGGGAGGAACAUCAGUGGCGAAGGCGGCUCACUGGACCGGAACUGACGCUGAGGCGCGAAAGCGUGGGGAGCAAACAGG